GGGUAGACUAGGUGGGAGAGCAAUCGAUUUUGAAAAACCCCUUCCCCUGUUGGAAUUAUGGUUACCUAUCACAAGGAAUAGGACUAGAUAGAAAGUUUGGCUGGGGCGGCACACUUUCGAAAGAGCAGCGAAGGUGUCCUAAGUUGAGCUCAGUGAGGACAGAAUUCUCACGUUGAGGAUAAGGCCAAAAGCUCAAUUUACUGUGCCUUUUUGUACUAGGAUCAGUUACGAAAGUAAGGCCUAACGAUCCCUAAAUAGCCUCAGGUGCGUGAGGAUUGGGGUGACAGACAAGUUACCUCCGGGACAACUGGCUUGUGGCUGCUAAGAGAUCAAAUCAACGCAGCUUUUUGAUUCUUCGAUGUCGGCUCUUCCUAUCCUAGUGAUGUACAAGUUGCUAAGGGUCGGAUUGUUCACCCGUAUUAGGGAUCGUGAGCUGGGUUUAGACCGUCGUGAGCCAGGUUUGUUUUAUCCUACUGGAUAUAGCAUCAUGAUAGUAGAUUGAUUUAGUACGAGAGGAACUGUUGAUUAUGGCCUCUGGUUAGCGAUUAUCGGAAACGGUAUGUCGCGCAGCUACGCCGUCUGGGAUAAUGGCUGAAAGCCUCUUAAGCCAGAAGCCCAUCUAGAAAGUGAUGCACGUGAUGUUGGACCGAUACGAAUAAUCAUACUCAAAAGGUCCGCUUCAUAGGUAACCCAAUGUAGAAGACAUUGUGUGAACGAAGGUACUGUAAGCAGUGGAGUGGCAUUACGUCCACGACCUGUUGAGGUUCAGCUUCGCUUCUAGGUUUCC
rfam:Trichomonas vaginalis G3, whole genome shotgun sequence.